UAGUUGGUGGUAAUGCACCUUAAAGUUGGUUGCCUACUGCUAUAUAAAGUCUGAAGAAGCCAGAAAGAGGAGAGACUAUUUGAAACAAACGUUUACCUGUGGAUUAAAUGUCGGAGAAGAGGACCUCGUGCAUUUCAGGUAAAUGGUAAUAUGCUCUUAACUGCUCUGGUCACAGACUUUGCUGCCUUGUUUCCAAUCGUCCACAUGGCUGGGAGAACCUAUUCAAGUAAGUAAAUGCAUUUCAAAUGUAAACUAUAUUAGCUACAGUGCAGUCUAACUCAAAUGAGCCGCUAACGUUACUAGCUAGCUAUCUAGCCAACUUUACACUGGAAGGUUUGGUGAUCAGGGCCAUCUGGGACUGCCUCCUGAGGGUCUUCAGGUGUGUGUGACGGCUACCUGUGUCCUGCAUAACUUAAUGGACACGAGGACCAGGAGGGGAUCUGCAGCUUGCCGCUGUGUGCCAGAGGAGAGGUUUCAAGGAUGGGGGGGCAAACAACUCAGCACAGGAGGCAAUCCAUGUGUGGGAGAUCUUCACCUUAAAAGAGGGUGCUGUUCCCUGGCAACACCAGACUACACUAUGUACAACCAAAUGCUCUUAAGAGCCGUCCACAUUGCAAUAAGAGGAGUCUUCCAUUUACUUAGCUUUGUCAAAUGCAGUUAUUCAAUUCCAGGUUUCUUUCCUUUUGAUUUCUACUUCAGGUGAGGGUGCUGUUCAGGUGAGGGUGAUGUCUGUACAAAAACAAAACGGGCUCUAUUAAGAGUCGCCCAUAUUUAAUAAAAUAAAUACAAAUUAACUAGACACCCUAUAACCUACACACUUGUGUAUCAAUCUGUUGUGCAGGCUCAGGUGUAACUGUGGCUCCUUCCACCUUCAAAGAAUAUGCAAGAGAACCAACCAUGGAGAAUAGUAUGUUCUGAUGUGAGAGGAUAAACUGGGUGCCCGAGGCUGUUUGGAGACAUGGCUAGAGACACUUAUUCUCUCAGUUUAUCACAGUUACAUAUCAGGGUAAACCUGUAAUUCAUUAAUCAUAUGUCUUCCGUGCUCCUCUGUUCAUACCUAUUUUGUCUCUCACACCUCUCCCCAACUUUCUUUUCAUCUGUAUUUAUAAUGGCCACCAGAUGUGCAUUGAAGUACAGACUGAACAUUUUAUUUAGAAUAUAUUACAUCUAUAAUGCAUGUAUUUAUAACACUUGGAUAAUGAAUUUUCAGUAAAGGGUUUCACAUUCUCUACUGGUUGAAAUGAAGUCUCGUUUGAUGACAUUCUACACCUAUCCUGUGUCCUCAGAUCAAUGCACAAGUGUUUUGACAUUGAGAUGAACUGGUUUUAUAGUAGUUACAUGAUGCAAAGGAAGUGUAGCGUACUGUUUUAAAAAAUAUAUAUUAUUCUGUUUCUGUAUAUAUGAAUUACAAAUCAGCCUUUAACUACUUAACUCAUGUUUCUAGUCUAUUGCAUAGUUACAAUGUGUAACCAUUGAGGUCCCAGGACCCGGCUUGGUAAACAGUGGAAGUCUAUAAUUGUCAUACAUACACAGCAUCAUUCAAGAAUAGAGUUUGAUACUCCUGGUAUUGGAUAUGACUGAAAUGUCUCUGACAUUCAUACCUGAAUCGCACCUUUAUUUGCUAAUUUAGAGUACAUGAUCAGUGAAUAUAUUAAAUGUGAGGAUCUCAUGCUUGGUAAUAACUACAUGUAUAUAGGACUUGCAUCCUUGGCAAAACGUUAUUAUAUUCUACUCAAUCCAUAGGCUUCAUUCAGACUGUUUUGUAGUCAUUACAACAGGCUAUGAUAGCUGAGGUUCAUAGCCAGGUUCUGAACCAAUAUUUAUACCAAACAUUUUAGGGUCCAUACACAGAUCGGCUAAAGUUUCAUAGCUAGGUAUACAUCCAUGGGCAUACAGGUAUUUUUAUACUCCACAAGCAAGAAAAUAGCUAGAUUUCUAGCUACAUUACUUCAGCUGCAUUGCAUGGGAAAUGUCAAGGCAAGCUUAAACAAUUUUACAUUAAUUUGCAGUAAAUGCUUUUCUAGAUUCUUUACAUCCACUGUUUCACAAGACGAAAGGCUGGUUUUCUCAGGAGUCCCUAAAACCAUUAAACAACCAGAAUUACAAUGUCACAACAUCCAUAAAGCUAACGUUACCUAGCUGGUUAAUGUUAGCUAGUAGUCAGCUAGCUUGCUAAAUAGCGAUUUUCGUAAAUUAACUUUAUGACAUAUGCGUUUACCUACGUUAACUAAGAAUUUUUUUGCACGCCUCAUGACGUUAUUACGUCCAUCCUGGUAUUUCUAUUUGCUGAAGAACGUCACCAGCGAUUGGUCGCAGAGCGUCACAUUCGUCAUGGGAACCACUCGGUAUGAUUGGUCGUCGCCACUGGUGAUUUCCAUGAACUUGGGAAAUGCUUUUGACUCUUCACUCUCCCGCUCAACCAUUUUCAUAGCCUCCUCCUGCAAUAGAAUAUUUCCUAAAUGUAUCUUUGUACGUUUUUGUAUUAAAGACUCAGCGAUAUGACAUAGAUGCAAAGUAAACCGCAUAGUGGGUCAAUGUCCGCAACAACUAAUAGCGUUGAAGCGCGAGGUUAAACUUGUACGCUGUUUUGUUUCCCACGUUAAGAACCAGUGCACAUGCGCAGAUACUGUGUGAGAGCGAGGUCUUACAUCUCUCUGCCUUGUCCCUAAUGUCAGCUUCACAGUAUCUCUGCCACAGUACUCUUCCCUACCGCUGGAGGGCCCAGGAGACAGACUGAUUGGAAAACAAACAGCACAAUAUCUCAAUAUUCUAUGUCUGGCUUGAAAAUGGGUAUAAGGCAAUAAUACCAUGGUACACUCAGCAUUGCUGUGUACUUGCUACAGCCCUGUACUCCUAUAAUACAUAAUUGUAAACUGAUGCUGACAGCUUUUCUUGUUAAUACCACAGCUGGACCACUCUCCUCCACCACCCGGUUGAUUUAUCAACAAUUCCAGCCUCGAACACCCAGUGGAGAAGGAAGGUAUCCUUCAGAAGACUGGUUAUUGACACUACAGUAAUUCACAUCUGUGUGCAAUUAUUUUUUUUUUUAAAUGGGUCAAACUGAUGCUCCAAUUUAGACCAGUCCCAGAUUGCUGAAUUAAAUCUACACAUCUAUUUAAAAGAAAGAAAUGCAACAAUUUUAGAAAUACACUUAAUGAUCAUAAAUAUGUCUGGCUUAGCUUUUUAAUAAAACAAAAUUUUAGUCAUUUAGCAGACACUCUUAUCAAGAGUGACUUACAGUUGUGAAUGCAUACAUUCACCCACCAAAAAAUUCAUACUGGUCCCCAUUGGGAAUCAAACCCACAACCUUGUGCGAAGGCAGGUGCCGUGCUCUACCAGCUGAGCCACAUGGGACAAUAUCCUCCAGCGUACUUGGAAUCAUCUACAGCGAUGAAACUGUGUGUAUUUUGGCUUGUGGUUGAUAACAUUCUGGAUAACCCUUGUAGACUAAAGUAAACAGUAUUUGUAGGAAUACUAUUUUUUUUCACCCAAACUCUGGCAGAUAUCUUUGAAUAAGCAGUAAAUGAACAUCUCCAUAAUGGAAUGGACCCAUAGAAAAACAGGAACUCUGCAAGGUCGCUGACAUAAAUGGUACGGAAAAUAUUUAUGCCAGGCCCAAAAACACGAACUCUUGCAAACUCCAAGCCAACACACCCUGGUGAGUCGAGCCAGAAAAAAAAGUGAUAAAACAUCCAUCGAAGCCUUGAUAGUCUAAUAAAGAAGUAGUCCAGAAGGUUCUCCCAUUCUAUAUUGGACACCCGCCACCACAUCAUAAAUGGAGAGCUUGGACUUUUCCUGAAUGGUAAAUAAAAAGUUGUUUUUGUCUGGAAUGGGGUUUUAACCAAUCAGCAUUCAGAAUUAGACCCACCCGUUGUAUAAAUACUCACUAAAUAGCAUUCUAAUUCAAAACGGGGAAUUCUCCCCUCGCUGUUAGAGAUAGUUCCAGCAAUUUGGAAAGUCCCAUCUUGCAGUGUAGGCUCAGCCGCAGGAGGACCAUCCUCAUUUGACAGAAUAUACACGCAGUCACAAAAAAAGAAACAUUUAGAUGAAUACGUAUCAAUAGUUGGAUAACUUUCUUUCUUUUCGUCCACCAUGUCUCCUGUUGCUGUGGAAACGCGUUGAGGUUGCUGACAUCGCCUCAGCCAAUGAAAUAAGUUCAUUUGCAAAAGGGAGCACUGUAUCUUGCUCAGAUAAAUGAUAAAAUAGACAUAAAAAAAAUACAUUAUAUGGGUUCAAUGCAUAUUUCAUAUUAUAUCAAAUGCAAUGCAGAAAUGUUUUUUUUUUUUUUUUACACGGUAUUUGGUGAAGUUUUGGGCAGAAGAUGGCUCUGUUCUCCAGUUUGUGUAAAAAUAUAAUGAAAUAAAUGCUAUUUUUGUCCGUCA